rnacentral:rRNA from 1 species
CUAAGGCGAGGCCGACAGGCGUAGUCGAUGGACAACCAGUUGAUAUUCUGGUACCAGGUUGUGACCGCCCGUGCUGAGGUCAUUGUGCUAACCAAUCUGCCCGCACCUCUUCGUGGCUUUCGGGCCGCGAGCGUGUGUGUGGGUCUUGGGGUCCCGGUGAUGGUAGGCAAGCGUGUUAACAGGGGUGACGCAGACAGGUAGCUGCAGUGCGCCGAUGGUUGUGCGUAUUUAAGGUUGUGGCCCGCCUCCCAGGCAAAUCCGGGAGGCACUAAGGGUGAGAACUGAUGAGGGACACACGCGUGUGUGGACUUGUGGUGAUCCUAAGCUGCCGAGAAAAGCCUCGACGUGAGGGCAUAACGCGCCCGUACCCUAAACCGACUCAGGUGGUCAGGUAGAGUAUACCGAGGCGUUCGAGUGAAUCGUGGUUAAGGAACUCGGCAAAAUUCCUCCGUAACUUCGGGAUAAGGAGGACCCCGUGACUUGCGCCCGCCAUUGCGUGGGUGUUGGGUUGUGGGGUCGCAGAGAAUAGGGAGAAGCGACUGUUUAUCAAAAACACAGGUGCGUGCGAAGCCGUAAGGCGAUGUAUACGCACUGACGCCUGCCCGGUGCUGGAAGGUUAAGAGGAACCGUCAACACCCCUUGUGGGUGUGAAGCGGUGAAUUUAAGCCCCAGUAAACGGCGGUGGUAACUAUAACCAUCCUAAGGUAGCGAAAUUCCUUGUCGGGUAAGUUCCGACCUGCACGAAUGGCGUAACGACUUCUCCGCUGUCUCGACCGUGAACUCGGCGAAAUUGCAGUACGAGUAAAGAUGCUCGUUUCGCGCAGAAGGACGGAAAGACCCCGGGACCUUUACUAUAGCUUGGUAUUGGUGUUCGCUUGGACUUGUGUAGGAUAGGUGGGAGACUGUGAAGCUGCCGCGCCAGCGGUGGUGGAGUCGUCGUUGAAAUACCAUUCUGGUUCAAGCGGUCACCUCAACCUUGGCCCGUGAUCCGGGUUGGGGACAGUGCCUGGUGGGUAGUUUAACUGGGGCGGUUGCCUCCUAAAAUGUAACGGAGGCGCUCAAAGGUUCCCUCAGCCUGGUUGGUAAUCAGGUGGCGAGUGCAAGUGUACAAGGGAGCUUGACUGUGAGACCGACGGGUCGAGCAGGUGCGAAAGCAGGAACUAGUGAUCCGGCCAUGGCACGUGGGUGCGUGGUCGCUCAACGGAUAAAAGGUACCCCGGGGAUAACAGGCUGAUCUUGCCCAAGAGUCCAUAUCGACGGCAUGGUUUGGCACCUCGAUGUCGGCUCGUCGCAUCCUGGGGCUGGAGUCGGUCCCAAGGGUUGGGCUGUUCGCCCAUUAAAGCGGUACGCGAGCUGGGUUCAGAACGUCGUGAGACAGUUCGGUCCCUAUCCUCUGUGCGCGCAGGAAAUUUGAGAAGGGCCGUCCCUAGUACGAGAGGACCGGGAUGGACGAACCUCUGGUGUGCCAGUUGUACCGCCAGGUGCAUGGCUGGUUGGCUACGUUCGGAAGGGAUAACCGCUGAAAGCAUCUAAGCGGGAAGCCUGCUUCAAGAUGAGAUUUCCACGCCCCCCAGUGGGGUGAGAGGCCCCCGCCAGACUAGCGGGUUGAUAGGCCAGAGGUGGAAGCACAGCAAUGUGCUCGUGAGCCGACUGGUACUAAUGGGCCAACACUAAACAAC